CCAAGGAGUCUAGCGUGUGCGCGAGUCAUUGGGUGUAAAACCUAAAGGCGCAAUGAAAGUGUCAGGGAUGCCUCCUUUAGGAGAGCUUCCCGUAGGGAGGAUGGGCCGCCGUACGAUCACUCGUCGGAGCCCCGCACUCCCGGGGCGUCUCUUUCUCAUCACGAGCGGAGACGCACCAGGAGCGCACACGCUGGUACCCGAAAGAUGGUGAACUAUGCCUGGCCAGGACGAAGCCAGGGGAAACCCUGGUGGAGGUCCGAAGCGAUUCUGACGUGCAAAUCGAUCGUCUGAGCUGGGUAUAGGGGCGAAAGACCAAUCGAACCAUCUAGUAGCUGGUUCCCUCUGAAGUUUCCCUCAGGAUAGCUGGCUCUCGGGAAGAGACGAGUCUCAUCNNNUAGAGCGAAUNAUUAGAGGUGAUGGGGUUGAAACGACUUCAACCUAUUCAUCAAACGUACC
rnacentral:rRNA from 1 species